UUAUUUACCUGUUUCUGUGUGAUGUAAUGUGAAAAGGUUUUUCCUUUCCUCUCUCUCCUAUCUCUCUCUCUCUCUCUCUCUCUCUCUCUCUCUCUCUCUCUCUCUCUCUCUCUCUCUCUCUCUCUCUCUCUCUCUCUCUCCAGGUUUCUCCUCUCCACUGCUCCACAUGCUCCCUCUCCCUCCAUGCAGCCUCCUUCUACCUGUGGGGCCCACCUGGCCAGCAAGCCCUGGGGAAGGCCCAGUCAGAUGUGUGUGUGUGUGUGCAUGUUGUUGUACAUGUACUUGUAUGUGUGUGGUUACCAAUUGUUGGUAAUCCCUGUUGUGUUUCCAUUUCUAGAAUAAUGUUUUGUGUACACUAUACAACAUUUUGUGGACACCCCUUCAUAUGAGUGGCAUUUAGGCCUAUUCCACGGCACAUGGAUUAGGCUAUUUCAGCCACACCUGUUGCUGGAAGGUGUAUAAGAUCGAACAUACAGCCAUGCAAUCUCCAUAGACAAACAUUGGCAGUAGAACAGCUUUACUGAAGAGCUCAGUGACUUUCAAAGUGGCACUGUCAUAGGAUGCCACCUCUCCAACAAGUUAGUUUGUCAAAUGUCUGCCCUGCUAGAGCUGCCCCGGUCAGCCGUAAGUGCUGUUAUUGUGAAGUGGAAAACCGUCUGGGAGCAACAACGGCUCAGCUGCGAAGUGGUAGGCCACACAAGCCUACCACAUAAAAUACACAAUAACGCCGAAGGCUUCUUUCCAUUGUGGUCCUCUUAGACAGUGAGAUGGCACAUAGCCAAGAUUGACCAAUCAUACUCACUGCAAUUAAAAACAACAACAGUAUCAUCAAUUACAAAUAUAUUCAAGAAGUUCCCUCAAUAUCAACAGCACAGAGGUGCUCGCUUAAGUCUGAUCAGCAGCCAACAAGCAGAUUCUAUCUCAGUUUGUUAUACAAUGCAAAGAGAGAUUUUGUCUUGAAGUUCUGCCUCCAUUAACUGGUUGAUGGAGGAGACAGGAGACUGCACUCGUUUGAGCCAGGGUUGGGGUUGAUUCUAAAUUCCUGAAUUUAGUUCAAUUUAUCCCAUGAAUUGAACAUUUGAAUUUGUCACACCACACAGCAAGCAGAAUUUUAAAUGCAUUUGAAAUAAAGGAAGUAGAACUGAAUUCAAAGCAUUUCAAAUAAAUUCAACUCAGACAAGAAAGAUACGUCUCAUUUGAACUCAAAGACAAUUGUUUUGUCAUUAGAUGUUAGGUUGUUCCCUUCCAUUCAGAAGUGUUUGAUCUAAUGAAUUCUGGAAAAUGUAUUUUUAUUCUGAUAUUUAAUAACAUGUGGGCAAUUGACAAUUUUAUUUAAAAUAAUCCCACAACACCCUCCCCCUCACCCCCCAUUAAAAAUAUAUAUAUAAUGACAAUAAUAAUGAUAAUAACUAACACCCUUGCCUUUCUUCAURUAACACUCACACUUGACUUUUUUACUAUAAAUCUUCUUGACGCUACCCAUCCCUUAAGCGGGAUAAUUGUCAUCAGCAACUGCUGAAUAGCAUAACGCCACAGUCAAAUAAUAUGACUAAAAAUACUCAUAUUCAUGAAAUCACAAGUGCAAUAUUGCAAAACACAGCUUAGCCUUUUGUUAAUCCACAUGUCGUCUCAGAGAAAAGGCAAUCCGUUUGUGUAAGUUUAUCGAUCGCAUGACAAAACAUUAAGUACACUUAAUAACAGGUAGCUUGG
ensembl:lncRNA